CCUACGGGAGGCAGCAGUGGGGAAUAUUGGACAAUGGGCGAAAGCCUGAUCCAGCCAUGCCGCGUGUGUGAAGAAGGCCUUCGGGUUGUAAAGCACUUUCAGUGGGGAAGAAAGCCUUGGGGCUAAUACCCUCGAGGAAGGACAUCACCCACAGAAGAAGCACCGGCUAACUCCGUGCCAGCAGCCGCGGUAAUACGGAGGGUGCGAGCGUUAAUCGGAAUUACUGGGCGUAAAGCGCGCGUAGGCGGUCUGAUAAGCCGGUUGUGAAAGCCCCGGGCUCAACCUGGGAACGGCAUCCGGAACUGUCAGGCUAGAGUGCAGGAGAGGAAGGUAGAAUUCCCGGUGUAGCGGUGAAAUGCGUAGAGAGCGGGAGGAAUACCAGUGGCGAAGGCGGCCUUCUGGACUGACACUGACGCUGAGGUGCGAAAGCGUGGGUAGCAAACAGGAUUAGAUACCCCUGUAGUU
rnacentral:rRNA from 1 species